rnacentral:rRNA from 1 species
UGGGGAAUUUUCCGCAAUGGGCGAAAGCCUGACGGAGCAACGCCGCGUGCGGGAGGACGGCCUGUGGGUUGUAAACCGCUUUUCUCAGGGAAGAAGAUCUGACGGUACCUGAGGAAUCAGCAUCGGCUAACUCCGUGCCAGCAGCCGCGGUAAUACGGAGGAUGCAAGCGUUAUCCGGAAUUAUUGGGCGUAAAGCGUCCGCAGGCGGUUAAUCAAGUCUGCUGUCAAAGUCCAGGGCUCAACUCUGGGUCGGCAGUGGAAACUGGUUAACUUGAGUACGGUAGGGGUAGAGGGAAUUCCCAGUGUAGCGGUGAAAUGCGUAGAUAUUGGGAAGAACACCAGUGGCGAAGGCGCUCUACUGGGCCGUAACUGACGCUGAGGGACGAAAGCUAGGGGAGCGAAAG